rnacentral:rRNA from 1 species
GACGAACGCUGGCGGCGUGCCUAACACAUGCAAGUCGAGCGGAGACAAUGACUUCGGUUGUUGUUUUAGCGGCGGACGGGUGAGUAACGCGUGAGCAACCUUUCUCUUACUGGGGAAUAACACAGGGAAACUUGUACUAAUACCGCAUGAGACCACAGAUCGGCAUCCUUCAGGGGUCAAAGAUUUAUCGGUAAGAGGUGGGCUCGCGUCUGAUUAGAUAGUUGGUGGGGUAACGGCCUACCAAGUCGACGAUCAGUAGCCGGACUGAGAGGUUGAACGGCCACAUUGGGACUGAGACACGGCCCAGACUCCUACGGGAGGCAGCAGUGGGGAAUAUUGCACAAUGGGGGAAACCCUGAUGCAGCAACGCCGCGUGAGGGAAGAA